CCGCAUCCAGAGCAACCAAGAAAGAUGUAAUGAAGUCAGUUGUGUGAUAUAUAUAUAUAUGGGACUUCCCUGGCCAAGGUCAUUUAGCUGCGUAAAGGAAUGGAUUCCCAUCUUGCUUUUUGUUGUGAUCCUGGCACCUCUUAAAUGUCGUUACUAAGGUUGUCAAUUCCUUUCCUUCUGUGAGGUCCCGUUGUCAGGGAACACUUGCCCACCCCCAAAAAGGAGCCUUUAGCACUCGAUUGAAGCACAAUGGCCACCAAUUGGGUUUUUUAUCAAAUCCGCAGAAUGAAAUCAUAACAUAGUUGAAAAUCUCUAUUCUUCUUUUAAAGUAAACAUUAAGUAUCAGACACGGAACACGUUUAUUUCACAGUUGACGCGGAUAAAUUAUAUAUACGUACAGAGAUAUAUAUACAUAACACCACUUAACUGUUUUGUUACGGAUAGUCAAAUGACACCGGCCAGAAAUGAAUCGGUUGACCCAGCUCUGGCCUACUGCAAAUAAUAUAAAAC
rnacentral:sRNA from 1 species